GUUAGGAAUAUUGGACAAUGGGCGCAAGCCUGAUCCAGCCAUGCCGCGUGAGUGAUGAAGGCCUUCGGGUUGUAAAGCUCUUUAGUCCACGAAUAUAAUGACUGUAGUGGAAGAAUAAGCCCCGGCUAACUUCGUGCCAGCAGCCGCGGUAAUACGAAGGGGGCGAGCGUUAUUCGGAAUCACUGGGCGUAAAGCGUGCGUAGGCUGUUUUGUAAGUCAGAAGUGAAAGCCCAGGGCUUAACCCUGGAAUUGCUUUUGAAACUACAAGACUCGAAUUCGGGAGAGGAUAGCGGAAUUGUGAGUGUAGCAGAGAAAUGCGUAGAUAUUGACAGGAACACCAGUGGCGCAAGCGGCUAUCUGGACCGAUAUUGACGCUGAGGCACGAAAGCGUGGGGAGCAAACAGGAUUAGAAACCCGUGUAGUCC
rnacentral:rRNA from 1 species